GUUUAUACGACAAGCCUGUUUUUCGAUUAAUCGAAUACCCAACCCUAGAUAAUACUAAUCUAUGGCCUGACUCGGGUCUGACACAAAGACAAUUUCGAAAAACAACAACAUUAAUGUUUGGUUACGAGUGAAAAAAAGUUAUUUUUUCGAUAUGGCCAACCCUCGGAAGUUCAGUGAGAAAAUCGCUCUGCACAACCAGAAACAAGCGGAAGAGACGGCGGAGUUCGAGAAAAUAAUGAGGGAAGUCUCAGACGCAACAAACAAAGGUAGUGCUUAUAAAAGACAGCAACUACAUAUCAACCAGUGUCUUGGAACAUUUCGUGCUGGUUCGCUUCCAAAUGUUAACAAAGUCAUGAUGUCCGCUCAGUUGGAAAUUAAGUCCGCUUUAAGUUGUAUGGAUGAACUCAAAUCGCCGCAAGGGAAAAAUCACACGUACAGGGAGCGUCCAAGAAGUGCCGUCGGACCCAUGCGCUCGAGGCCAGCUGAAAAACGGAUAGACACAUCACCGUAUAGUGGACCAUACUUGUCGCCUCCUCCUGAUACACCAUGGCGCCGGACUCAUAGCGACUCUUCCCUGCACACAAGUUCACACGAUAGUAACACGUAUAGAAAAGGGACUCUUGAUUGCCAUACUCAGCUGGAUGACUAUGAAACUUCAAGGAGAUUAUGUUCUGCUUCACCUGAAGUUAGGCCGAGAUCAGCUGUGGAUAUGCCUCGUGUUCCUGGAAUAAGUAUUUAUCCAUCAACACAGGAGCCAGGAACGAUACAAAUUCCUAUCGGGAAUAACACAGGAUCCUUGCCAGACUUGACUAGUUUUCACUUUCCGUCUCCGCUCAAUACUCCACUCGACCAUGAGGAUCAUAACUCACAGUUUACACACGGUCGGCCUCAUAAUACUUACCAAUGGCACCAACUUGGCUAUCUCCCACCCAUUUCAUCCAUACAGCAGACUUAUAGUAAUCAGGGAGCACCAGCAAUUCAGACUGAAGCCAAUUCACAUCAAUCUACUUUAACAAGGACAAGUCCUCAACAUAUGCCUCAGUCUCUUACUGUUUAUAAAUUCAGCAGUUCAAGCCCUUGUAGCAGCUCACCUCAAAGCCCACCAUCACCAACCAAUGCUCAGUGUACCAUGAAUUCUAAUCCUGACCAUAAUAGUUAUUUUAUUGGCCAAACUAAUGCACUUCAACACCACUUUGAGCAAUUUUCUAUGAUAGACUCACCUGCUGGCAUUAAUUUGGAUUACAUUGGUUCUACCAACUCUUCUUUACAGACUGAUGAAAGUUGUCCGAAGACUCGAAAUCACGAGUUGACUCCUGAUCCUGGCUACUUUAGUACAUCGCCGUCUCAGCAUAAUGCUUAUGUCCGAGGAGCACCUGAAACAACAACACCCAAUACUCCGUCCAGUAUACCUGAUAUAAUCUUUACUGAUUUCUCAAACAGUGAUGAGCUUACCAAGGAUUUUGCAGUCACUAUGGUGGACUCCUUAGAUCAAGAUUUAUUUCCCUCUGAUGAGUGUUUAAGAGAGGGCUUAGAUCCGAUUGACUUUGAUGGUUUACAGAUGCUUACAGAUCCAGAAAUAAUAACAGAUCCUGCUACAGAAGACCACCUCAGACUAGAUAGACUUGAUGAGAACCUCGAUAACUUUGACGAUACACCAAUACUUGUUGCCAAAAUUAGGGGGAAUGAUUCAUCACAUGAUUGACCAGCAUUGUAGAUGUAUCCUCCUGCCAAUUUCCGGUAGCCAGGCUCCAUUUCUUAAACAGCACUAUUCUUCUCCCCAUAGCUUCACAUCUGGGAUUCUGUAUUUCUAUGUGUAGAAGCGCUUCCAACGUUGGAAGAAGAUCCUUUACUCCAGAAUGAAUAAUUCAUCUUGCCAUUUGAAACCAACGCACAUCUAUAUCUAAGGCCAUAUUUUUAAUACUCCAAUUAAGUGUGUAUUUAUAAUAAUUGUAUCAAAUACUUAACCAAGACGACCACAUUUACUGUAUUAUAGCUUGGUUAUACACUAUCGUGAUAGUUGAACAUUUUAUCUGUGUUUAAACACAAAUUUUGUUAUUAACCAACUGUUGUUGUAUAUUUAUUGGAAAUAGCAUUUGAUUUAUGCACGACAUUUACAAUUUUUUAUGUGUGUAUAUGUGU
rnacentral:misc_RNA from 1 species